GAAUUGCAGAAUUCAGUGAAUCAUCGAAUCUUUGAACGCACCUUGCGCUCCUUGGUAUUCCGAGGAGCAUGCCUGUUUGAGUGUCAUU
rnacentral:rRNA from 1 species